UCUCCAGACUCCUACGGGAGGCAGCAGUGGGGAAUAUUGGGCAAUGGGCGCAAGCCUGACCCAGCAACGCCGCGUGAAGGAAGAAGGCUUUCGGGUUGUAAACUUCUUUUCUCAGGGACGAAGCAAGUGACGGUACCUGAGGAAUAAGCCACGGCUAACUACGUGCCAGCAGCCGCGGUAAUACGUAGGUGGCAAGCGUUAUCCGGAUUUACUGGGUGUAAAGGGCGUGUAGGCGGGGACGCAAGUCAGAUGUGAAAACCAUGGGCUCAACCUGUGGCCUGCAUUUGAAACUGUGUUUCUUGAGUACUGGAGAGGCAGACGGAAUUCCUAGUGUAGCGGUGAAAUGCGUAGAUAUUAGGAGGAACACCAGUGGCGAAGGCGACUUUCUGGACGAUAACUGGCGUUGAGGCACGAAAGUGUGGGGAGCAAACAGGAUUAGAUACCCUAGUAC
rnacentral:rRNA from 1 species